AGUCAGUCUGCUUCUCUAGACGCUUGCUGAUCUCACCACCGGGAGCACGUCAAGCGUGUACUCAACAAACAAUGUCUGAAUCGAACCAGCCAGAUGUUUCGUUUUAUUCAUACGAGCUGGGACACAAAGCAUUUUUGCUAUUUCUGCCUGUAACAGAUGUUCGUAUUUGGAUCAAAAGGAGGAAGCGGGUGCCGGUUUCAACAGUCAGAUUCCUGUAAAUGUUCGGAACAAGCCACUGGAGACCUUGUUGGAGAUGAUUAAAGGCACUUGAAGGGGCCGGUUGUAAUGUUAUUAAUGUAUUUUUAUUUUUUAACUUGGUUUUCCAAGUAACUGUCAAUUGAUUCCAGGUGUUUUGGAGUGAAUAGUACGAUUGUACCCAGAAUAUUUACAUGCAUGGCAAGCCGAAAUUACGUGUAAGAUGUUAAUUAUAGAUAUCUAUAUUUUAAAUGGUAAUUCUUGAUUUUAGCAAUGGAAUUACUACUAGAAAUGUGUAUUGUGUUUAUAUCAGUAAUGAAGCUUGUAAAAAUGUAAUGUCAACUAGUAAAAAAACUAAAUUAUUGAUAUCUGUAACUGCA